GACGAACGCUGGCGGCGUGCUUAACACAUGCAAGUCGAGCGGUAAGGCCCUUUCGGGGGUACACGAGCGGCGAACGGGUGAGUAACACGUGGGUGACCUGCCCUUAGCUCUGGGAUAAGCCUGGGAAACUGGGUCUAAUACCGGAUAUGACUCCAUGACGCAUGUUGUGGGGUGGAAAGCCUUGUGCGGCUAGGGAUGGGCCCGCGGCCUAUCAGCUUGUUGGUGGGGUGAUGGCCUACCAAGGCGACGACGGGUAGCCGGCCUGAGAGGGCGACCGGCCACACUGGGACUGAGACACGGCCCGGACUCCUACGGGAGGCAGCAGUGGGGAAUCUUGCGCAAUGGGCGAAAGCCUGACGCAGCGACGCCGCGUGGGGAUGACGGCCUC
rnacentral:rRNA from 1 species